CCUACGGGCGGCAGCAGUGGGGAAUAUUGCGCAAUGGGCGAAAGCCUGACGCAGCGACGCCGCGUGAGGGAUGAAGGUCUUCGGAUCGUAAACCUCAGUCAGCAGGGAAGACCGGUCACUGUGCUAAUCAGCAGUGAAUUGACGGUACCUGCAAAGGAAACAACGGCUAACUCCGUGCCAGCAGCCGCGGUAAUACGGAGGGUGCGAGCGUUAAUCGGAAUUAAUGGGCGUAAAGCGACAGUAGUCGGUAUUGCAAGUCAAGGGUGAAAUCCCCGCGCUCAACGUGUGAAGUGCCUUUGACACUGGCAAACUGGAGUGUGUGAGAGGAGAGUAGAAGUACAGGUGU
rnacentral:rRNA from 1 species